rnacentral:rRNA from 1 species
UGCUGCAUGGCUGUCGUCAGCUCGUGCCGUGAGGUGUUGGGUUAAGUCCCGCAACGAGCGCAACCCUCGUGCUAUGUUGAUUUCUCAUAGCAGACUGCCUUGUACAGCAAGGAGGAAGGUGGGGAUGACGUCAAGUCAGCAUGGCCUUUAUGCCCUGGGCUACACACACGCUACAAUGGGUGGGUACAGAGGGUUGCCACGGAGCAAUCCGGAGCGAAUCCCUUAAAACCAUCCUCAGUUCGGAUUGCAGGCUGCAAUCGCCUGCAUGAAGCCGGAGCUGCUAGUAACCGCAGGUCAGCUAUACUGCGGUGAAUACGUUCUCGGGCCUU